GCAGUCGAGCGGCAGCGGGAACGUAGCUUGCUACUUUUGCCGGCGAGGGGGCGGACGGGUGAGUAAUGCCUGGGGAUCUGCCCAGUCGAGGGGGAUAACAGUUGGAAACGACUGCUAAUACCGCAUACGCCCUACGGGGGAAAGGAGGGGACCUUCGGGCCUUUCGCGAUUGGAUGAACCCAGGUGGGAUUAGCUAGUUGGUGGGGUAAUGGCUCACCAAGGCGACUAUCCCUAGCUGGUCUGAGAGGAUGAUCACCCACACUGGAACUGAGACACGGUCCAGACUCCUACGGGAGGCAGCAGUGGGGAAUAUUGCACAAUGGGGGAAACCCUGAUACACCCAUGCCGCGUGUGUUAAGAAUGCCUUCGGGUUGUAAAGCACUUUCAGCGAGGAGGAAAUGAUUCUGGCUAAUAUCCAGCAUCUGUCACGUUACUCGCAGAAAACCACCGGCUAACUCCGUGCCAGCCUCAGCGGUAAUACGGAGGGU
rnacentral:rRNA from 1 species